rnacentral:lncRNA from 1 species
UUUAUAUAUAUAAAUAUAAUAUAAUAUAAUAUAAUAUAAUAUAGAGAGAGAGAGAGAGAGAGAGAGCUAGGCUUAUAUACUAUCAGAACUACGUAGGUCUUCGUGCCAUCAAAUUAUUUAAUGGUGCGGCUUGCAAAUCGAUGAUCGGCUCCGUUUGACUUGAUCUGCACUAUUGAAAGUAUUUAGAAACUAAAUUUCAUAAUUUUUCGGCAUCAUUUACCAAUCAAACAAAUAGUCUAAAAAUGAACGGCUAAAAAUAAAAAUCUCAUAAAAAAUAAUGAUAAAGACUUGAAUUUAAAAUCAGAAAUACUAAUCUUACUCUAAAUAGUAAAAAAAAAAUUCAUACAAAUUUUAUUAGAUUUUGAUUGUUUUAUAUUGUUAAAUUCACAAAUGCAUCACAUCUACUAUUAAAAUUGUCAAAUUUGGGACAUUUUGAUCACUAGUCAAAUAAUGUCGAAAAAUUAUGAAAUUUAGUUUCCAAAUACUUUUAAUAGUGUAGAUCAAGUUUAACGGAGUCGAUCGUCUAUUUGGAAGCCAUAUCAUUGAAUAUAUAAUUUGAUAGCACGGCCUCCGUGCUAUCGAUAGUAUAUCAGUCUAGCUAUAUAUAUAUAUAUAUAUAGUUGAGCUAGUAUACUAUCGAUAGUAAACGAGCCGUAUUAUUACCGAUUUGUUUUCGAUGAUAGAACUUCCAAAUUGACGAUCAGCUCUGUUAAAUAUGAUCUAAAUCAUUUAAACUACCUAGAAAUCAAAUUUCACGCACUUUUGAUAUUGUUCUUUUAUUCAUCAAGUGAACAGAAAAAUGAAUGACUAAAAUUAAAUACUCUUUAAAAUAUGAUGAUAGGAGUUUUGUAAUCAAGAUCAAGAGUAUAGAUCUUAUUUUAAAUAGUUUAAAGAAUUUUCUAACAAAAAUUUAAUUGAUUUGGAUAUCUUUACGCCGUUAAAUGAGAAAACGCUUAUUAUCGACCAUUAAAAUUACAAUUUUUGAAAUCCUUUAAUCAUUAGGCAAAUGAUGUCGAAAAGACUUGAAAUUUGAUUUCUAAACAUUUCAAGUGGUAUAGAUCAUGUUCAACGGAGCCGAUUGUCAAUUUGGAAGCUCUAUCAUCGAAAAUAAAUCGGUAGUAAAACGGCUCAUUUACUAUCGAUAGUAUUCUAGCAAAACUCUAUUUAUAUAUGUAUAUAUAGAGUGCGGCUAGAAUGUUUAUGGAAGCACGGAGGCCUCCGUGCUUUCAAGUUGUUUUCGAUGUUGGGACUUUCGAAUUAACGAUCGGCUCCGUUAGAUUUGAUCUAGAAUAUUUGAAGUACCUAGAAAAUAAAUUUUGCGAUUUUUCGACAUCAUUUGCCUAGUGAUCGAAGGGGCUCAAAAUCAACGGCUAAAAAUAAAAAUCUCACAAAAUAUGAUGAUAUGACAUUAAAAAUUUAGAUCAAAGAUAUUGAUCUUAUUUUAUAUAGUAUAAAGAAUUUUCUAUCAAAAUUUUACUUGAUUUGGAUAUUUCUACACCGUUAAAGUUGCAAACGGCUCACCACGGCCGUUAAAAUUAUUGAUUUUGAGCUCCUUCGAUCACUAGGCAAAUGAUAUCGAAAAAUCACAAAAUUUAUUUUCUAGGUACUUCAAAUACUCUAGAUCAACUCUAACGGAGCCGAUCGUCGAUUCGAAAGUCCAAACAUCGAA